rnacentral:lncRNA from 1 species
CUGGCCUCAGUGUGUCCCUCUGUUCAAUGGGGUAACUCUCUCCCCGCUUCGUAAGGGAUGCCUUGACGGGGUGAUGUGGAUAAAGCAGUUUUUGAUCUUCAUCCCUUUUUCAGGAUGAAAAUCUGUCCUGCGUCCAGGCUGACAGUGUCAGGGCAUUUCUGAAGGACAGCCCAAAGCCCCAGGGAGGUCUAAUUGUGCUGGGUACUCAGGGUCUGACUGCUGGGCCCCAAUCCUUGCUGUGUGGCCUCACUGAAGCGAGUCGUGUUUGAAAAGCCACUCUCCUCUCAGGAUGCUGCCCUGCCAAGCAGCUGCCCACAGCUUCUGAGCAACAUCCAAACCGCUUGGCCUGGCCUUCGAGGCCGCCAGGUGGGGCCUCCGCCUCCUGCCCCUGCCCAACCCUGACCCCGCGCUCCAGCCAUGGGAACAUCCGCCACAACCCCACCGAAUGCCAGGCCCUUCCGCGGCCGCCGCCCCCCGCAGGCCUUCGAGGAGCUGUGGCCAUCAGCCUUUCAACGAGGGGUCAGCCGAGGCUCGGGGAAGCGGGCGCCUUGCUCCGCCGACUGUGUCAGGACUUGGACCUGGGUCCUCUGGCUGCAAAACCAGGCUCUUCACACUGAACCAUAAUUUCUCCACACUUGCUCCAUCGGCUAGUCCACCACCUUUUCUGGAACUCUUUUCCAUCUCAGCUUCCCAAACUCUAGUUGUCCUUCAAGGCUUGGCCCAGAUGUUGCCUCCCCCAGGCAGCCUCC